rnacentral:rRNA from 1 species
CCUACGGGGGGCAGCAGUGGGGAAUAUUGGACAAUGGGCGAAAGCCUGAUCCAGCCAUGCCGCGUGUGUGAAGAAGGCCUUCGGGUUGUAAAGCACUUUCAGUGGGGAAGAAAGCCUUGGGGCUAAUACCCUCGAGGAAGGACAUCACCCACAGAAGAAGCACCGGCUAACUCCGUGCCAGCAGCCGCGGUAAUACGGAGGGUGCGAGCGUUAAUCGGAAUUACUGGGCGUAAAGCGCGCGUAGGCGGUCUGAUAAGCCGGUUGUGAAAGCCCCGGGCUCAACCUGGGAACGGCAUCCGGAGCUGUCAGGCUAGAGUGCAGGAGAGGAAGGUAGAAUUCCCGGUGUAGCGGUGAAAUGCGUAGAGAUCGGGAGGAAUACCAGUGGCGAAGGCGGCCUUCUGGACUGACACUGACGCUGAGGUGCGAAAGCGUGGGUAGCAAACAGGAUUACAUACCCGAGUAGUC